GAUGAACGCUGACAGAAUGCUUAACACAUGCAAGUCGACUCGAGUCUUCGGACUUGGGCGGCGCACGGGUGAGUAACGCGUAAAGAACUUGCCUCUUAGACCGGGACAACAUUUGGAAACGGAUGCUAAUACCGGAUAUUAUGGUUUCUUCGCAUGGGGGAAUCAUGAAAGCUACAUGCGCUAAGAGAGAGCUUUGCGUCCCAUUAGCUCGUUGGUGAGGUAACGGCCCACCAAGGCAAUGAUGGGUAGCCGGCCUGAGAGGGUGAACGGCCACAAGGGGACUGAGACACGGCCCUU
rnacentral:rRNA from 1 species